rnacentral:rRNA from 1 species
AAGCUCGUAGUUGAAUUUCGGGGUUCUACCGUUGGUCGGGCAAUAGUCUGUACUGGCGUGUAGAAUUUCUACCUUCUGGGGAACCAUCAUGUUAUUUAUUUAGUGUGGUGGGAAACCAGAACCUUUACCUUGAAAAAAUUAGAGUAUUCAAAGCAGGCUUACGUCUGAAUACAUUAGCAUGGAAUAAUAAAAUAGGACGGUGGUCCUGUUUUGUUGGUUUCUGCAUCACCGUAAUGAUUAAUAGGGAUAGUUGGG